GUCAAGGUUGGGGAAGGUCAAGGAAGGUCAACGUUGAGCAUCAACGUUGAGCGUCAAGGUUGAGGAAGGUCAAGGAUGAGGAAGGUCAAGGUUGGGGAAGGUCAAGGUUGAGGAAGGUCAACGUUGAGCAUCGAGGUUGAGGAAGGUCAAGGUUGGGAAGGUCAAGGUUGAAGAAAGUCAAGGUUGAGAAGGUCAAGGUUGAGAAGAUCAAGGAAGGUCAGGGUUGAGCAUCAAGGUUGAGAAAGUCAAAGUUGGGGAAAGUCAAGGAAGGUCAAGGUUGAGAAGG